rnacentral:rRNA from 1 species
AAUGCCCGAAAGGGUGACCCAGCAACGCCGCGUGGAGGAUGAAGGCCGUAAGGUUGUAAACUCCUGUUAGAGGGGAAGAAAAAUCUCGAUCAAAUCGAGAACUGACUGUACCCUCAGAGAAAGCCCCGGCUAACUACGUGCCAGCAGCCGCGGUAAUACGUAGGGGGCAAGCGUUGUCCGGAUUUACUGGGUGUAAAGGGCGCGCAGGCGGAUUGACAAGUCAGAGGUGAAAUCCUACAGCUUAACUGUAGAACUGCCUUUGAGACUGUCAAUCUUGAGUACGGAAGAGAGAGAUGGAAUUCCAGGUGUAGUGGUGAAAUACGUAGAUAUCUGGAAGAACACCAGUGGCGAAGGCGGUCUCUUGGUCCAUUACUGACGCUAAGGCGCGAAAGCGUGGGGAGCAAA